rnacentral:rRNA from 1 species
AUCGAACGCUGGCGGCAGGCCUAACACAUGCAAGUAGAACGAGUGGCGGACGGGUGAGGAAUGUCUGGGAAAAUGCAUGAUGGAGGGGAAUAACGACUGGAAACGGUAGCUAAUACCGCAUAACAUCAGAUGUGCCCAGAUGGGUUUAGCUAGUUGGUGGGGUAACGGCUCACCAAGGCGACGCUCCCUAGCUGGCCUGAGAGGAUGACCAGCCACACUGGAACGGGGACACGGUCCCGACUCCGACGGGAGGCAGCAGUGGGGAAUAUUGCACAAUGGGCGCAAGCCUGAUGCGGCCAUGCCGCGGGUAUGAAGAAGGCCUUCGGGUUGUAAAGUACUUUCAGCGGGGAGGCGUUACCCGCAGAAGAAGCACCGGCUAACUCCGUGCCAGCAGCCGCGGUAAUAC